UAUUUAAAUCAUAAUAAUUUUUGUGGUUAAAUAUAUUGAUAAACAUUCUUACUAAUAAUUAUUCAUUUCAAAUAUAUUUUGUUCCAUAAAAAGAUUUAAUAGUCCAUAUUACUAAUAAAAAAUAAUAUUAUUUAACUGUAUUAAAUGGAAAUCGACAAUGUGGAAAUUAUAAUGGUCUAAUCUCGUGGUUUGUGUUGUAAAAACAAAUACUGUGGUGCAAUAUUUAAAGAAGUUAUAUUUAAAGUGAAAAAAGAAAAUUCAUGAACCGAAGCACAUGUAAACUUAUUACGGGCAAUUAAAUUGUUCAAUUUUUUUCUAUAGAAGAUAAAGUCGAGAUAAAGGUUCGAGGUAAUAUCGUAUGGAUUUGUUCAAUUGCCAUUAAUAAAUGCAACGAUUUGUAAUUAAAUGAUAACAUGUAGAAAUAUUUCGAUAAUAUAUAAUAUAUAAUUUAGAGAUGAAAGAAAUUAGAACGGGAGAGACUUGACACAGCUUACUGAGGCUUCGAAGACAAAACAUAGCGCACGGUGAAAUAUACGAAAUAUACGAAAUAUUGUUUCUCGACAAAAUCAUAUUUCUUCUCUGAUACGAUUCGAUGAUUUAAACGAUUUUCCUUUUCCCUCGAGAGAGAAAGAGAAAGAUGUAUGCAUACGUCUAGUUUAUUAUUCGUAUUAUUAUACGAUGAUAUAUAAUGUAAUAACGUAAAACGCGAAAGAAUGUUUAACGCGAGUAAUUCUCGUCGUAGUUGUAAAUAAUAGUAACGGCUUUCUAAAUUGUUUUCGUAACCGUGGCGGGUUGUUGGUAAAAUUUUAAAGAAAAAGAAAAAAGAAAAAAGAACUUGAGAAAAUUGGGAAUGACGUGGUGUUACGAAAUGUUAAUUAUUUCACGGCAAGAAAAGUGUAAAAUCGGUGUAAAAUAAAGUUGUAUCGAAUCCCGAUUUGAUAUCGUUAUUGCAUUCCGCGUUGAGAUCGUUUCUACCGGCAAAAAAAAAAAUAGAAUUGUUACUGUAAAAGUCUAUGAGAAAUGUAGGAAAGAAAGAAAAAGAAAAAAAUGAAAAUGAGGGCGAAAAAUAAACAAAAUAUGAGUAAGGAGGGGAAGGAAGAGGGGCGGCGGUUGACAAAUAAGGGAUGAUCGGAGAACACGAAAUCGGUGAAACUUGGGAGAAUGGAAGAUACGUCAGUUAGGAUUAUUAUUUUCAUAAGGAACGUGUAAUAUAAAUAUGUAAAUAUAUAUAUCGAUAUGACAAAUUAACGACAUCAUCGCGAUUAUGAUCACGACGAUGAUGAUGGUUAACAUUAUUAUUGCUAUUAUUAUGGUUAUCGAUUAUUAUGGAAUGAUGAUAAUGAUGAUAAUGAUUAUAAUUACAACAAGAAAAGAAUUAAUACAAUUAUAUAAAAUAAAAAAAUAAUUAUACUUAAUACUUAUGUUACGAAGUUAGAUACAUACAGAUUCAAGCAAGCGAGAACAAAUAAUAAUAAUAAAAAAAAAAAACAAAAAAUAAUGAAAUUUCAUACACACAUACCGACACAGAAAUCUGGGUGACAUGUAUUAACAUCGUACAUUUAUAUAUCAAAGACUAGAACACGGUGACUAGAGCACAGUGUGCGAGAAAUAGAAAGGAAGAGAGUGUAGGGGGAAACGAGCGAAAAACAUGAAAAGAGAGAAUGAGAGAGAGAGAAUUUUUUAGCGCACUUCGAGGGAACUUAUGUUUCGUCGAGGAUCGUGGAUGAAAUAGUUUUGCGUAUCGUUGAUUCGUAAAAAAAAGUUCCUUUUUUCUUUCGUUUUUCGGCAUGCAAAACUUUAACGUAAAGCCUUUUCAUUUGCAAACGGUUGCUUUUGCCACGAGCCACGAAUUCUCACUUUUCAGUUCGCAGGAAGAACGCUCUUCAAAUUUCUUCGGUCAGCGAGUCGAUUCGUCGAUCGAUGCGAUCGACGCGAGCAUUCGAUAGAAAGAGAAAAAGAAAUAAGAAUAAUCAAUCGCCAUGAAAGAACAGUGUCAUGAAUCGAUUAAACGAACCAAGGUUCUUCGAUGUUCGCAUUUAUUCGCGCUACAAACGUGUUCCUGUAUUCGUCGAAUACAAUUCUUUUCUUGUUCUUUCUUGGUUAAAUUCUCUUCGUUUCUUUCUUACAUUAAAUUACGAGAAAAAAAAAUAAAAGAAUGAAAGAAAGAAACUACGCCGAGCCGAAGAGUUCUGUGUACGUAUCUUAUCCCAUUUGAAGCUCGCAUACAGACUACGUAAUUGGCUAUAAAGGACAUGGCCAUUAGCAGAGAAAAUGUAUCAUUCAGAUAGUCAGUAUCAUUAAAGAAACGGGUGAAGUAUUUCGAGAGAAAGGAAAUUUUGAGAAAAUUAAUAACGCGACCACAGAUGGCGCGAAGGCGGCUGUACGCCAUUUCGAGCGAAAUGGCAAAAGUGAACAAAGGAAAAAAA